UGAGAGCUGUGGCAGCUGCCUUAUCUAUCAAAUUGUAAUCCCCCUUUUUUUUCUCUCUUUCAGAACUCAUUCAUAAAAAUUGGAUUGAAUGGCAAAGGACCAGGUUUAAACUGGUGACGUUUCAAUAUGAGGGGGAAAUUCCUGACGGGAUUUAAAUCAAGCAAACAACUUUGUAAGAAAAAAGAAAAGAAAAAAUUGCUGAACCUGGGAACUAAAAAAUUACAAAGGCGUCCGUGGUGUUAAUGAGUUCCAAGAUGGCUGGAAAACUGACCAUAUUUGGCUGCAGGGAGUGGGAGAUGCAUUGCUGUUAAAACCAUAAAAGGCAUUUUGGU